UAAAGGCUUGGUCCUGGCCUUUUUAUUAGCUCGUAGUAAACUUACACAUGCAAGCAUCCCCGCCCCAGUGAGAAUGCCCUCUAUAUCAAACAAUUGAUCAAAAGGAGCCGGCAUCAAGCUCACUUAACAAAGUAGCUCACAACGCCUUGCUCAACCACACCCCCACGGGACACAGCAGUGAUUAAAAUUAAGUUAAUAAACGAAAGUUUGACUAAGUUAUACUACUCUAGAGUUGGUAAAUUUCGUGCCAGCCACCGCGGCCAUACGAUUAACCCUAGUUAAUAAAAUACGGCGUAAAGCGUGAUUAAGGUUAAUCCCUACCGAAUAAGACUAAGCUUAAACUAAGCUGUAAAAAGCCUUAGUUAUAAUAAAAAUAAAUAUACGAAAGUAGUCUUACCACCCUGAACUCACGAUAGCUAAGAUCCAAACUGGGAUUAGAUACCCCACUAUGCUUAGCCCUAAACACAAAUAUUUAACUAACAAAAAUAUUCGCCAGAGUACUACUAGCAAUUGCUUAAAACUCAAAGGACUUGGCGGUGCUUUAUAUCCCUCUAGAGGAGCCUGUUCUAUAAUCGAUAAACCCCGAUAAACCUCACCACCUUUUGCAAUACUCAGCCUAUAUACCGCCAUCUUCAGCAAACCCUAAUAAGGUCUUAUAGUAAGCAUAAGAAUUUUACAUAAAAGCGUUAGGUCAAGGUGUAGCCUAUAAGGUGGAAAGAAAUGGGCUACAUUUUCUACCCUCCCUAGAACAACAUUUAACGAUAGCUUUUAUGAAACGUACAAGCUCAAGGCGGAUUUAGUAGUAAGCUAAGAAUAGAGUGCUUAGCUGAAUUGGGCAAUAAAGCACGCACACACCGCCCGUCACCCUCUUCAAAUUCUUAACUCAAUAAUAUAACUAAUUUCCUAUAUCCAAAGAAUAAGAAGAGAUAAGUCGUAACAAGGUAAACAUACUGGAAAGUGUGUUUGGAACAC
rnacentral:ncRNA from 1 species